CUCGGUCAAAGUUUGCGCAGGCGCUUCUUCUCUCUCUUUCCUCGCUACCGGCUUCAGAGGUGCAGUGAUGGAGAAGAACACGAGAGGAGGGCGAGCAUGGAGCCACUCCGGCCUGUGCUUUACGAGCCUCUGGUCCCAAAUGGAGCAAGUUGUUUGAUUUAAAGGGGCUGCAUGUGCCUUUUCAAGCAAACCAGUCAAGAAGACGCAAAGUUUCUUUGUGUUGAGAUGUAAACACCUAAGACCACUUCCUUGAAAAGAUGAAAUUAAGCCUGUGUUAGCCACGGUGUGGUUAUCUGAUUCAUAUACACAAUGGAUGUAGACCAUUGCCUCUGGACUCAGAAGUACAGUUUGGAAACAGCUGUUCAGGUUAACAGCUAAGAGG